GGGGAUUUAGCUCAGUGGCAGAGCGCUUGCCUAGCAAGCGCAAGGCCCUGGGUUCGAUCCCCAGCUCCA
rnacentral:tRNA from 1 species